AUGAGGUUUUGGAUCAUCUAUGUGUUCCUCCUUCGCAACUUCAUCCACACGCUUAGGGUUUUGUUCGAGUAUUAUAGUAAUGGUAUGAAUAUUAGGGAAAGUUGGCCCAGCCUCUCGAGAUCUCUUUUUCCACCUUUUCGAAGUAUGUUCCACCUUGAAGGAUGUCGUCAACCGCAAACUUAA